UAAGGAAUAUUGGUCAAUGGACGCAAGUCUGAACCAGCCAUGCCGCGUGAAGGAUGAAGGUCCUCUGGAUUGUAAACUUCUUUUAUCUGGGACGAAAACGGGAUUUUUAUCUCAAUUGACGGUACCAGAGGAAUAAGCACCGGCUAACUCCGUGCCAGCAGCCGCGGUAAUACGGAGGGUGCGAGCGUUAUCCGGAUUUACUGGGUUUAAAGGGUGCGUAGGUGGGCUUAUAAGUCAGUGGUGAAAUCUCCGAGCUUAACUUGGAAACUGCCGUUAAUACUAUAGGUCUUGAAUUAUCUGGAGGUAAGCGGAAUAUGUCAUGUAGCGGUGAAAUGCUUAGAUAUGACAUAGAACACCAAUUGCGAAGGCAGCCUACUACAUAUAAAUUGACGCUGAGGCACGAAAGCGUGGGGAUCAAACA
rnacentral:rRNA from 1 species